rnacentral:rRNA from 1 species
CGUGCCUAAUACAUGCAAGUCGAGCGAGCUUGCCUAGAUGAUUUUAGUGCUUGCACUAAAUGAAACUAGAUACAAGCGAGCGGCGGACGGGUGAGUAACACGUGGGUAACCUGCCCAAGAGACUGGGAUAACACCUGGAAACAGAUGCUAAUACCGGAUAACAACACUAGACGCAUGUCUAGAGUUUGAAAGGUGGUUCUGCUAUCACUCUUGGAUGGACCUGCGGUGCAUUAGCUAGUUGGUAAGGUAACGGCUUACCAAGGCAAUGAUGCAUAGCCGAGUUGAGAGACUGAUCGGCCACAUUGGGACUGAGACACGGCCCAAACUCCUACGGGAGGCAGCAGUAGGGAAUCUUCCACAAUGGACGAAAGUCUGAUGGAGCAACGCCGCGUGAGUGAAGAAGGGUUUCGGCUCGUAAAGCUCUGUUGGUAGUGAAGAAAGAUAGAGGUAGUAACUGGCCUUUAUUUGACGGUAAUUACUUAGAAAGUCACGGCUAACUACGUGCCAGCAGCCGCGGUAAUACGUAGGUGGCAAGCGUUGUCCGGAUUUAUUGGGCGUAAAGCGAGUGCAGGCGGUUCAAUAAGUCUGAUGUGAAAGCCUUCGGCUCAACCGGAGAAUUGCAUCAGAAACUGUUGAACUUGAGUGCAGAAGAGGAGAGUGGAACUCCAUGUGUAGCGGUGGAAUGCGUAGAUAUAUGGAAGAACACCAGUGGCGAAGGCGGAUCUCUGGUCUGCAACUGACGCUGAGGCUCGAAAGCAUGGGUAGCGAACAGGAUUAGAUACCCUGGUAGUCCACGCCGUAAACGAUGACUACUAGGUGUCGGGGCACGACAGUGCUUCGGUGCCGGCGCAAACGCAAUAAGUAGUCCACCUGGAGAG